rnacentral:rRNA from 1 species
CCCUUAGAUGCUCUGGGCCGCACGCGCGCUACACUGGUCGAUGCAACGAGUUUCUUUCCUUGGCCGACAGGCCUGGGCAAUCUUUGAACAUCGAUCGUGAUCGGGAUAGAUUCUUGUAAUUUUUGAUCUUAAACGAGGAAUUCCUAGUAAACGCAAGUCAUCAGCUUGCAUUGAUUACGUCCCUGCCCUUUGUACACACCGCCCGUCGCACCUACCGAUUGAAUGGUCCGGUGAAAUCUCCGGACUGGCGUGAGUCGGAGCAAUCUGACAAACACCGGAAAGUUGAUUAAAUCUUACCAUUUAGAGGAAGGUGAAGUCGUAACA